CCCGCCUGUAGGCUCCCCUGUCCAUAGCAUUCUCCAGGCCCCACCCUGCUGCAGAUCGCAAGACCAUCGCCUUCUUCAAACCGCUGCUGGGUUUUCCUGACCUUCUGCCCCACGCACAGAAGGAGCUGUUUACUCCACGACUAGGAUGUGUCAUUCACAUGGGACUCUGGGGACUC